AGUUCUGAUGAACGCUAACCAGUAGACGGUAACCACACUGAUUGGCAGAGCUUGGACACCAAGUCUAACCUGCUCUGAGCUGAUGUGCACUGUUGGCUCCUGUUGUGCUGCACAGGCCUCCGGUAUUACAAAUGGAACUCAAGAGCAUAUUCCACUCAUCUCUGCUAGUGGAUUACCUCUGAACGUUGUCUGCACUGGGCUGAGGAUGCUCACUACUUAAGUUCAAGGUUCUUACUGAUGUCACUGGAAAAUUUGUCUCUGCUCUGAGAAAUCACAGGGAUUAGUCUUUGUGACUCGUGAGGUGACUACACUAACACCUGGUGUUGAUAAGAUGGCAUGAAAACAGCCAGCUCUGGAAGUCGGGCUGGAGCCAUGGCUCAGAAGUGAGUAGUGCUUGCUGCUCUUCCGGAGGACCCGAGCUGGGUUACCAGCACCCAUGUUCUGCAGAUCACAGUCUUUGCUAACUCCAGAUCCAGGGCUUCUAACCCCCUCUUCCGGCCUCCAUGUACCGUACCUUUACUCAUGUGCCUGACAUCCUCCCACACAUACUUAAUGAAAAAUAAGAAUUCAAUCUUUAAUAAUAAGAAGAAAAGAGUCCCGGAAGAGUGU
rnacentral:lncRNA from 1 species